rnacentral:rRNA from 1 species
CCUACGGGAGGCAGCAGUGGGGAAUCUUGGACAAUGGGGGCAACCCUGAUCCAGCGACGCCGCGUGGGUGAUGAAGGCCUUCGGGUUGUAAAGCCCUUUCGCCGGGGAGGAUGAUGACGUUACCCGGAGAAGAAGCACCGGCUAACUCCGUGCCAGCAGCCGCGGUAAGACGGAGGGUGCUAGCGUUGUUCGGAAUCACUGGGCGUAAAGGGCGCGUAGGCGGCUUGGGCAGUCAGAUGUGAAAGCCCGGGGCUCAACCCCGGAAUUGCAUUUGAUACUCCCAAGCUGGAGGUCGGAAGAGGAGGGUGGAAUAUCCAGUGUAGAGGUGAAAUUCGUAGAUAUUGGAUGGAACACCGGUGGCGAAAGCGGCUCUCUGGUCCGAACCUGACGCUGAGGCGCGAAAGCGUGGGGAGCAAACAGGAUUAGAUACCCUAGUAGUC